rnacentral:lncRNA from 1 species
AAGGAAGCUCGGAGUGCUUCGUUGGAAGUUUUUGGACGUAAGAACACGGAGAUCGACAAGUUCAAAGUUUGGCCGGAGCUUUCGAGGCGUUUUCCGGCGAAUCCCCGGCGAGUUAGGAGUCGAGGUAGGUAUCAAUCUCUUCGUCUCGUCAAGUACUACACUUUCCUUUUUGUUUCACUCAAUUUCGUUGAGUAUUGAAGAAGUUAUACUCAUUUGAAAAAUACCCAGUUUCCGGCGACCUCCGAGGCUUUCGAGGCAGUUUCCGGCCAAACCACGGCGAACUAGGUGUUGUGCAAGGUACCAUUCUCUUUGUCUCUUCAAGGGCUACAACUUUCGUUUUUGAAUCACUUGAUUUAGUUGAGAAAUGACAAAGUUAUGGCAAUUUGAAAAACUGUUCAGAAAACGGCCGCCGGAAAAACCAGUCCGGCGACCCAAGGAAGAAGAAGGUGCUACAGUAAAAAUAAAAAAUAAAAAUAAAAUUAUUUUAAAAAUAUGUCGACGUCCGUGACGUCGAGUAGAUCACUGUGGUAUAUUCAUAUACCUAAAUUGAACACCAUAUGAGAAAGUUAUUGAAGAUUGUUGGUUAGGUGUUCAAAUAACGUUUUAUAGUUUUCACAUUUAGGUGAAAAUGUGAAUUGAUGAUUCGACCGUUGGAUCAUCACCAAACUUUGAUACGUUAUAAUACGUAAUAUUUGAGGAUUAUUGGAACUUACAGAUUGGGAAUCCGAUUUGCGGAUCUUCCGGAAUUGGAAUUGUAAGUCCAUAAUAUAAAAUGUUAACCGUCACUUAGUUUUGGAAAUUGACAGAGAUCCGACCGUUGGAUGGUAAUGAAAUUUUAGGAUGUUGUCCUAGAGGUAUAAUGUGGACCUCUGGAAGUUAUGGAUUUAAAAUCUGAGUGGCAGAUCUUCCGGAUCGAACUACGUAGUGACGUAUUUUAUAUAAGUUAAAUAUUCUAUCGAUAUGAAUUCUGAGGUUGGAUUUGAUUACUAUUUUAGGCGGCGAUCGUCGUGACGCCUUGAUGUGUGGUGCUAGGGAGUUGUUGGAUGAACUCCAGGUGAGUGGGCAGUUUUGUUUUCCGUAUAUAUAUAUAUACUUAACGUUUUCCCAUAAAUUGAAAAUGCAUGAAAUUAUGUUUAAAAUGAAAUGCAUAUGAGUUAUGUGGAAAAAACGGGAAGUGAAAUACCAUGCAUAGAAUUGAUAUGAAAAGUAUAUAGAAAAUGUGAGUUGAAAUGCCAUGCAUGAAUUAAUAUAUGAUGCAUAUGUAUGAAUUGGUGCGGUGGACGCACAGGUAAGAAUUGAUUUAUGAUGCAUAUGUAUGAAAUGGUGCGGUGGACGCACAGAUGAGUAUUUAAUUACUGUUAUGAUGAUGAUGAUAUAUAUUGAGCUCAAAUCCUGCACCAUGGUUUAGUGCUUAUAGUAUUCACCGCAUCGCACGCUCGCCUUGGAUCCAAGUAGAUGCUAGUCGUACAGUCCACGCGGAGUGGGUACGACAGACCAGUCGCGAGAGUGUUAGUGAGAUUCCGACUGGUGGGUGACCUUAGAUUAUGUGCACAGAUGAUUUAUGAGAAGCACUAGAGCGUAACUUGUGUGCAGAAGGCCGGACGGGUCACAGAGGUGACUCCGGUAGAGUGAUAAUGAUAGAUUUUGAGCUCUAGGUUCAACCGUAUAGGGCUAUUAGAGGGCCUACGGUUGAUUACUUUCUUGCACCUGAUAUGAUUAUGUUGAUGCAUUCAUACCUUAUUACUGUUGAGAUGAUGUGGCAUGGCAUAAUUAAUAUGAAAAAUGUUGAGAUGACAUGGCAUGGCAUGAUUGAUAAAGAGAUAAUGUUGAGAUAGUAAAAAUGAAGUUUUGAGAAUAUAUAUGUAUAUUUAUAUUUUUUUACAUUUCUGGGAAAGUAUACAGGUUUUACGGAGAGGGUUACAACGUUUUGAGAAAUGUUUGGAUUUGGAAAAGAAUUGUUUACUGACCCACUCAAUUUUGGUUUUGCGCCCCUCCAGGUUCAGGAAUCACAAAGGUGUGGUGACUACGAGGAAUACAGCGGGGUUCUGACAGAUUGGACAAAAUUAGGACUCACCUUCGGGUGUAUCAACUUAUAAAUUGUAUAAUUAAAGCUUCCGUACUGUGCAAAUGGUUACGUCACUCUCACGUGACGGCCAGCAUGCCCUCCUUCGGGACAGGGUGUGUCAGUUGGUAUCAGAGCAUGGUUGCAAUCUUGGACAUCUUGAGAAGUUUAUAGUGAAUUCUGUCAGAACUACACCGCCUCGUAGCAAACCACGUAGUUAGAGGAAUUCCCUAGAUUUAGCGGUUUGGGGGAAACUAUUAUUAUGGUGAUUCAGUAUAUUAUCAAAAUGGACAUUUUAAGACGGGUUAUGAGUUGAAUUUGAAUCACCUUAUGGAAUGAUCAACCUGAGGGAGCGGAGUGACGGUUUAACCAAUUGGAAAAGAUGUUUCAGAUUAUGCAAGUCAAAGGAAAUUUCCUUCUGACAGGUGGGUCGAGACGACUACCUGGUUUUGGGUAUGAAUUUGCAUCCUGGUGGAAACAGGAAUGUUAAUUGUUGUCACCAGAGGAAUCAGCCGAUUUAAAAUUUUUUAAGGAAAAGUUUAUCCCUCCGGCAUUUAUUGAUGGUAGUAAACAAGAGUUUACAAAUAUGAGACAAGGAAGGUGAUGAUCGAGGGAUAUUAUAGAAAGUUUUCAGACUUGCCUCGUUCCAUCCAGAUAUUGUUGUUAAUUUGGUGGAGGUGUUAUGUUGUUUUAAGCUGGGUGACAAAAGGGAAGUGGUAUUUUGGGUGACCACUAUCCAUUGUAGUUCUUAUCAGGAGUAUGCUAGAUGUUGUUGAAUCUUGAGGACUCUGAGAACAUGAGCAACGAGAAUAAAGAAGAAUAAGAAAUGAAUGGGAAUUAAAAGAAGACGAUAAAGUUAAUGAUUCGUCAUAUCAAGGAUAUAGAAAGAUUUAGAGCUUCGAAAGAAGUGAAGCUAGAGUUAAUUCUUCUAGCUGAGGUUUUAAUGUCGCUGGUCAGAGUAAAAGUGAUGGAUAUACUGGUAAUCCCAGAUAUUUGAGACAAGGUGUCUCGAGUAAAGGAAAUGUACUUUGUGCAGCAGGUACAAAAUUAACACUUUGGGAAAUGUGAAAUUAAUGAAUGUGUUUAUGUGAACAGAAGGGACACAGAGUUGUGAAUCGUCCCUAGAAUCAGUUGUACUCAACAAUUUUCCAUGAAAUCAUAGUGUCGAUUCAGCAGAGUUAUGGAUUUAGUAGUUUGGUCGGAUUGACCGUGAGUACAGAGAUAUUUGAUGAGUUAUAUGUUCAGCUGUACGGACCAUGAGAAAUGGAUUUGACUGACACAUGAGAAAUUGGUGAGUUAUAGGCUCGGCCGUGCCGACCACGCGGAGUGGAUCCGGCCGACGUAUUAUUGAGAUAAGAGUUGAAUCAACCGUAUUGGUCAUUCUAGUUGACUUCGGCUGAUAUAUUUCUUAUUAUGUAUGAUAUUACCUAGAGAGUGGUAAAUAAAUGUAGUUGAGACGAGUGUAUGUAUUUUGCAUUGAGUGACAAAAUAGUAAUGUUAUAUCUUUGUGAGUGGUUGCCUACUUAUCGAGACAACGAUGAUUUAUCAGUAUUGCGGGCUGCAGACCGUAAUAUUAAUAACUCAUUCGUGGAUUCGUUAAGUAAGUAAACCGGUAGAUUAUUUUAUGUUAGUAUUGUACUUAUUCAGAAUGCUUAGUAGUAAUAGAGUAUGUAUUGUGUCGGUUAAUUAUUAUUCCAUUAGAUUGGUUGGUUAUAAUUGUGACAAGACGGAAUGUUAAGGGAAACCAGUACUUUCCAUCGAUCUGGAUGACCAGAGAUUACUUUUGUAAGUAUGCAAAGUGAAGUGAGUUCAGCCAUUAUUUAUGCUGUGAAAGCAAAUAGAUUGUUUUGAAAGGCUGUCAAAAAUACUUAGCUCAUGUGGUGCUAAAUGAUGUUGUUUGGAGUAGUGUGAAUAAUGUCGAAAGGGUUAGACUUUUCUUGAUGUCUUCUCUGAAAGUAUACCUGGAUUGUCUUCAGGCAGAGAUAUGAGGUUCAUUAUUGAUUUGUUUGCCAGGUAUAAAUUUAUGUUAAAGAUUGGUUCAUGAUGAGUUAAGGGAAUUGGAAAUUCAGUUGAGAGAAUUGGUUGAUAAAAGUUUUAUUCAACCUAGUACAACACUGUUGAGGAGCACCAGUUUGUUGGUGAGAAAGAAAAUGGACUUUAAAGACUAUUCCUUGAUUAUAGAUAAUGGAGUCGGGUAACGAUUGAGAACCGUUAUCCAUGGUGAUGUACUGAUGUUUAUUUAACCAGCUCAAAAGUAAUUGCGAAGAUUCAAAGAUUGAAUUGAGAUCUGGUUACUACCAAUUGAAUAUUAUAAGUGACGUUGAUCAUAAGAUGGUUUUCUGGAUUUGUUAUAGUUUUUAUGAAGUUUGGUGAUGCUAUAUGGAUACUCAUGCUGUUUUAUGAGUUAUUGGAUGAAGUAUUCCAAUAAUGCCUUGAUAAAUUGAUAUCAUUUCCAUUGAAGAUAUUCUGGCAUAUUCUGAGCCAGAGCAGAGUAUGUAAACGUAUUAAGUCAAUGAAGCAAAGAUUGAGAGAACGUUAGUUGUAUGCUAAGUUUAGCAAAAGCUAAAGUUAAAUGGAUCAAGUGGCAUUCUAAAAUUUGUUAUGUCUGCUUAAGGUAUUCAAGUGAAUCCUUAAAGGAUAGCAGAAAUUGAGAAUUUGGAACAACCACGAGUCGUAAUUGAGAUUUGGAAUUUCUUAGCUUACCAGGCUAUUUUGGAUGGUUGUGAAAGAAUUUUAGUCAUUACUUUGUCAUUAACGAGACUGAUGAGAAAAGAGGUUAGGUAUGAGUGGGAAGGAAUUGUAAGCAAAGGAUUCAACAACUGAAGUAUUUCCUCACUCAUGCACGUAUUUUGGUAUUCCCAGAGAAUAGUGGUAAUCAUAAAUUUUUAGUGAUGUUUCUUGAAUGGUAUUGGAGGCAUGUUGAUGCAAAUGUUAGGGUGAUUGCAUACGUUUCACGAUAAAUGGAAUCUCAUAAGAUGAAUUACCCUACUGGUGAUUUGGAAGUCACGAUUACCAUUCUUGCUGUGAAGUUAUGGAGACAUUAUAUUUUAGUAGGAAUGCAAGAUUUUUUUUUACGAAUCCAAAAAGUCUUCAAUAUCCAUUACUUGGAAGGAAUUUGAUAUGAGGCAGCGAAAGUGAAUUGUAUUGCUUAAUGAACAUGAUUGUACGAUCAGGGUGAUCGUAAAGUUUGUUCUAGCUGAAGCACUUGGUGAGAAGACUACAGUAAGAUUAAUAUCUGGCACGUUUGCCAAGAGUAUCAUUUUGUGGAUUGAAAACCAACGGAAGAAAAAUUAAGAAUGGAAGAUCGAGAAGAAGUAUACUUGUUAAGUAACAAGUUAGUACAUUUACCCCAGUGUUGAGUAACAACCUUUCCCAGACAGUGCAACACUACUUAUUUGUUUUAUGGAAAAGAGAAUUGGAUUACGGAACUGCUAAGUUUCUUAAGUAUGUUGGUUGUGCAGUUUCCGAAGUAACGCCAUAAGGACCAUGAAAUGUGUCACGUGAGUCGGUUUUUGAUGACUUGUGAAUGGAAUGUUUCUGGGUAAAGAAAGAUUCGAUCGAGAAAGAGUUUUAGUAGACCCUGAGACUAUGGAUGAGUCUCCUCAAAGUAUUCAGGUGAUUAAGUUAACCUAAAAGUAACCAGGAAUGACAAAAGACAUCAACAGAUGGAUAUGCCACUAAUCGAGUAUAUAAGGUAAAUGGUUUUAUAUUUUAGAAGUGUUCACCUUAGAAAAGUAGAAUUUGGAUUGGAAAAAGAAGGUCCUGAGAGUUAAGAUAGAGUAAAUGGUAAAAGUUUUGUGAAUGAAUCAUUCAGUGGAAGAAAAUUACGUGGGAGAAAAAGAAUCGGAUGAAAAAAAAAAACUUACCGAGGUUGGUAUAAGUGUUGAUGAAUUGGUUGGUUGCUGGAAUUUCGGGGACGAAAUUCUAUAAGGAGGGAAGAUUGUCACAGCCCGUUCCAAAUUAUUAUAUUCGUGGCUGUGAAUGGACAAAAUUGCCCUUAAGAAAUACUAAAUUUGUGAAGCUCAGGUUGCUAAUUAUCUAGGUUCCUAAGUUUGAAAAUAAAAUGGAAUUUAAUAAGGAUGGAACUUAGAUUUUUAGGUUAAAAUGUUAAAGUUUGGUGUUUGGAGAUUGGAAUAAGGACCACGUGGGAUCCCCACAUCCCUCAAAACCCUCCUCAUUUCCCGUUCACUGUCUUUCUCUCUCCUCCUUCACGAUUUCUCACUCUCUCUGUCUCUCUCCUUCGAACUCACACGGACCACCACCAAAACCACCCUAAAUCUAUACCAACGUCAAGUUUGAGACCACCAUUGGAAUCCUGAGGACUUCACGAUCACGUUGGUAUCCAUUUCAGGUAAGUUUUACUUCGGAAAACCUAGAUUCUAAACUCCCAUGAAAGUGUACUGUUCAUGAGCUUUUGAAUUGGUUGAUUUUUAGGACAAUCCAAGCUCAUAGUGAGCUUAGUGAGGUCCCAAGGAAGCUCGGAGUGCUUCGUUGGAAGUUUUUGGACGUAAGAACACGGAGAUCGACAAGUUCAAAGUUUGGCCGGAGCUUUCGAGGCGUUUUCCGGCGAAUCCCCGGCGAGUUAGGAGUCGAGGUAGGUAUCAAUCUCUUCGUCUCGUCAAGUACUACAACUUUCCUUUUUGUUUCACUCAAUUUCGUUGAGUAUUGAAGAAGUUAUACUCAUUUGAAAAAUACCCAGUUUCCGGCGACCUCCGAGGCUUUCGAGGCAGUUUCCGGCCAAACCACGGCGAACUAGGUGUUGUGCAAGGUACCAUUCUCUUUGUCUCUUCAAGGGCUACAACUUUCGUUUUUGAAUCACUUGAUUUCGUUGAGAAAUGACAAAGUUAUGGCAAUUUGAAAAACUGUUCAGAAAACGGCCGCCGGAAAAACCAGUCCGGCGACCCAAGGAAGAAGAAGGUGCUA